GGGUAUAGCUCAACUGGUAGAGUAGCGGUCUCCAAAACCGUUGGUUGUGGGUUCGAUUCCUACUGCCC
rnacentral:tRNA from 3 species